UCGGUCAUAUAACGUUGAAAUACCGGUUCGCGUACGAUCACCGAAGUAAUAUCGAGCCGGGUCAGUACUUAGAUGGGUGACCGCUUGGGAAUACCUAGCGAUGUAAG